CAGGGCCACGCGUGCUCGGGAGCGAGGGCUGCUUGCGGGCAGCCUGAUCCCAUCGCCGUGUCCUGCCUAGGAAGCUCUACGGACGUGCUUUGGUGCCUGAUCUCAUUAAUGGGUGAGAGAGAGGCUUCUUCGCAGUUCCUGUCUCCUGGAGCAGAUUUCAGCCUUUGAAUUAAGCACCAGUUCACUCUCGGUGCUACAGGGGAUAAAGAGAAUAUUCCAGUCCCUGCAUCCAUCACAGCUGCUCUGCCAAGCAAAGUUAACAAGUAAACAGUAAUCGCCCACAAUUAUUGCCCAUUACAUGCUCUCUUCACCUGAGAUCACACAACAAAGCGUGAGCGUGGAGCCACGGGAGGAGCUGGGUGGCAAGGAGCUGUCAAGAUGAAAUAACAGCAAAAAGACCUGUCAAACGCUGCCUCUGUGAAAGACCUAAAUCCUCUCCUGAUGGCCCCUUGGUGCAGUGUAGAAGAGCUACUUCUGUGUAAUUAUAAAUUGUCUGCAGGGCUUAUCUGAGAGGUUCAGGGUUGACAUUACAAUAAUAGGGUGGGUGAGCUUUAUUUAAGGGAUAAUGUUCCUGGCGGUGGUGUAUACAUGGCAAUAAAUGAGUGUGGCGAAUGAUUAACGGCAGCAGGAAGCCUGCAUGGCCCCUACUGCGUGGCCAGGGGAGGAGAGCCGGGCAGGUCCUUGUGUGCAGGGCAGUCCUGUGGGUCCCCAUGCGUCAGCCCACGCAUGGCACAGGGCCCACGUGUGAACUGGGACUGUGUGUCACUCAGGGCUCUGUGCUGGGGGGCUGUGAUGGGUGCACGCCGGAGGUGCAUGCAGGAUGGGCCGGGCCGUAUCCAGAGUGGGGAGAGGCAGGAUUUGUGUCCCCUCACUCUGAACGUGGGCCAGUGCAGUGCCUCCAUGAAAGCUGUCUGCCCGGGCUCUUUUUAUAGCAGCAGAGAGGGAAGGGCAGUUUGACGGUGUGGUACACCUGACCUACUUUAUAUGCUUACCUUAGGGUGAAUGGAACUGUUCUCAGAAUUGCAUUUUCUCUCUAUCUUCUAUAUAGAGAAGAAAGUAAGCUCAGAUGUGGACCUGUAAGCCAGGAAGGGUUGAUCCCGCUGGAAAUACAUUGCUUCCUUCAGCCAGCGGGUUUUUUUUUGUUUUUUUUGUUUUUUUUAGCAUGCUCCUCUCAUUCUACUGCAUCUUAAGAAUGAAUUUGCUACAUUGUUUUCAUAGAAGUGUUAGUUAAAAAGAGAGUGCAGAAAGAGAGCUUUGCACCUGAGCCAUACCUGACGUCCUGCCAGGCGAGGCUCCUCCCCUGCUCCCAUCCUGCAGACGGGGGCAGUAAUGCUGGGGAUGGAGGGGCUGCUGUGAGUCCCGCUGCUUGCAGGGAAGCUGUGCACGGCAGUUGGUGUGCCUGUGAUGGUGGGCAUCAAGGGGCUGCCCACCAGCCCUUUGUUGGAGAGCCCCACGGCGUGAGUGCUGCGCGUCCUGGCACUGAAGCCAAGCCUGAAGUCUGGCACUUCGUGUUGGAGGAAGAAAAUGGACCGUGGAUGCACGGUGUCCGGCUCAAACGUGUCCAAAGCCGAAACGGGAGGCAGCUGUGAUGUUAUUGCAGCGGAACGUCGUGGGAGGGCAGCUCUGCUCAGGGCAGCAGCCCUGCUCUCUUCACGCCGGGUUGCAGCGAAUUGCAGGGCUGCAUUACUCUUCCAAGGGGAGGGAGCACAUCCCUGCUCCUGAGUGCAGGCAGCGCCCGGCCGGAUGGGUUUCCUGCAGGGGAGGCGGACUCCCCAACUGCCCCCGGUGAUGGGAAAGCAGUAGAAAGGCGACGUGAGCUCCGAUCCCGUUACCAAUCAAAGACACUGAUUGAGACUGGGGGAGCUGCCGGGCUGGUCCCACUCGGGAGAGUUAGUGGUGAUAUUAACUGGAGGAAAUUCUACAGAGUCGUGGUUGCCAUGAGAUUAAAUCUGGUGAAGCUGUUGGUAAUAACCAAGCUCCUGCCCGUCCCCCUGCCACAGGACAAACCAUGUACGAGAUUGUUCUCCCAUGGAGCUCAUGAAGAACAUCUGGAUGAGAGAGAAAACGAAGCCUGUCCAAAGAACACAGUGAACCAAGGGAGGGGAACUGCCUCUCCCCCGGAGCUGUGGAACGCUCCCAGUUCACAUUGGUGUCUUUUACAGCCCCUUUGGAUUUUGCUGCAUCACAUGAACGGUGCUUACACAGAUGGUAAAAAUAUGUUUUUCUGAAGGCAUAGUAAAUGUCUGUGAUAGACAUGAUACCAGGCUGUCAUCGGCACAAGUGUAUCUGUGCAUUGUUUCCCUGUUUUUCUGGGCUUCCGGACAAGUGCCACUACAACCACCAAUUUUCCUGUCUUUUUUUCCUUUGCUUGUACAAGAUUCUCAAUACAAACCCCUUCCUUCUCAGUGGGAACAGAAUGCACUGCUGGGCAGAGAAUUAAAGCAAACGUGGUUUUGGAUCCAUCUGGGUGAAAUAGGGAAAAUUUUUCUGUUAGAUGUCAAUCCAACCAGUGCCAGCUGAGCUCCCUGCCUUUCCCCUCCCCGCUCCUCCUUGGGGCCAUGGCUGUGGCCCCCGGCCCUGGGGGAGAGCAGCAGCACUCAGGACCUGCAGUGCAGGGUGAGACUGAGCCAAUGCUGGCUGUGUGACCCCGUGUGCCCGCCCGCAGCCCGAUGGAAGUGUUGGUGGCAUCCGCGUGGCAUUGGUGCACACUCUUCCAUGGGUGAGUUGUACCCAGUCCAUGGGGAUCAGUGCUUGCUGCCAUGCCUGUGAAUUCUGGAGCCCAGUGGGGCUGGCAGCGCUCCCCAGCAGGCAGCGGGGCAGCAGAGGUGUGAGGCAGCAGGAGAGGAUGAGGUGCCCGGGCUGACAUGGCCAUCCACUGGGAUGCAGGUGCAUUGGCAGAGCAGUUGGGAACCCCACGUGUUGCCUGGCUGCUUCUGUCUAGCGCUGUUAUGCCCUGCUAAGAGCACUAAAUUUGUUUGCAUAUCUGCAAGGGAACAAAAGAUCCUCCUUUAAAGUAAAAAUGCCAUUCACAAGUUCUGUACUACUUAUUCUGCUUGAACCUACUUUAAAAAAAG
rnacentral:lncRNA from 1 species